UGAAUUGAGACACGAAAUCGAGGUGGUU
rnacentral:sRNA from 1 species